rnacentral:rRNA from 1 species
GACGAACGCUGGCGGCGUGCUUAACACAUGCAAGUCGAACGGACAGGCCCUGCUUUUGUUGGUCGCUCGAUUGGCGCACGCGGGAGUAACACGCGAGUAACCCGUCCUUGUCUUUGUGAUAACAUCAGGAGACUGGGGCUCAUACCCCAUAGGAUCUCCUGCUGCACGUUGGGCGUUGGUAAGAUUCGGUGUUUCGGGCUGGUCUCGCUGCUUAUCAGCUUGUUGGUGUGGUAGUGGCUUUCCAAGGCUUUGACGGGUAGCCGGCCUGAGAGGGUUACCGGCCACAUUGGGACUGAGAUACGGACCAGACUCCUACGGGAGGCAGCAGUGGGGAAUAUUGCAGAAUGGGCGGAAGCCUGAUGCAGCAACGCCGCGUGCGGGAUGACGGGCUUCGGGUUGUAAACCGCUUUGGCAUGUGACGAAGCGUGAGUGACGGUAAUGGGUAAAGAAGCACCGGCUAACUACGUG